UAGGGGGCUGAGGAGUGCUGGGUUGGGCUUCCAGCUCCCUACAACGCAAACCAGUACUGGAGUUCGUGGUGCUGGAAGACCGCCGCCCGACCCUGGGCCCCGGGUAGGAAACAACAAUUUCGGACCUCCUGGGGUCUAUGCUAGGUAUGAGGUGUAUCUUUGCCCUCCAUCAAGUAGCAAAGAUGGACAUGUAAACAAAUUUCGACACUGUGAUGAUUGCCACAAAAAGCAGCAUUAUGAAGUUGAAUGUAAAAGGAUAACCUUAGCGGCAGCGGGGGCCGGAGGAUGAAGGAAGGCUUCCUGAGGUAGGCGCUGCUUGAAACUGAAGUUGGAGAGAGCAAGUGGCGUUUGCUGAAGUGCAUUUCCGGUAGAAAACUCCAGUGGUCCCUCACCUGACUGAGUGGCGCAGUCAGAGAUAAAUGGAACAGAGUCUACAAAUAAACAUUUUAUAAAGAUGAUCCUUCAAUACAUAUUCUACAGCCCAGUUAAAAUGUGAGAGGCCAUGAUCUACAGGCAGCCAUUUAUAAAGGUGGAUCAGGGCCGGACACGGUGGCUCAACGUUUGUAAUCCCGGCACUCUGGGAGGCCAUAGCGGGAGGAUCGCUUGAGCCCAGGAGUUCGAGACCAACCUGGCCAACAUGGUGAGACCCCAUCUUUACAAAAAAAUAUAUAUAUCCAGGCAUAGUGUUGUGCACCUGUGGUCCUGUGGUCCCAGCUACUCAGGAAGCUGAGGCAGUCGAGGCUGCAGUGAGCCACGUUCUGGCCACUACACUCCAGCCUGGGCAUCAAAGUGACAAGACCAAAAAAAAAAAAAAUGUGGAUUGGAAGGAGGCAAGAAAGAAGGCAGGAAAAGGGUGGAAUGUAAGUCCAUAAGGACACAAUCUUACUCACAAUUGUAUCUGCAACAUCUGGCAUAAUGCCUAAUACGUAAGUAUUUUAUGAAUUAAUUAAACGAGAACACAAGCCUAAAUUAAGGCAAUGGCAAUGGAGAAGACAAACCAACUUGAGAAAUAUUUAAAGGUCAUUGUCAAUGGAACUUAGUGACUUUAAUGGUUAAUUUUAUCUAUCAACUUGGCUAGGUGAUGCUACCCAUGUUACUCAGUUUUUGGUCAAACACUAGUCUAGUUGUUGCUAUGAAUUGUAUUUGUUAGAUGUGAUUAACAUUUAAAUCAGCAGACUUUGAUUAAAGUACAUUACCCUCUAUAAUGAGGGUGGGCCACAUCCGGUCAGUUCAAAUUAAAACGAGACCCUUAAGAAGAAGCAAUUCAGCCUCCAGACUGCAUCGUCAAAUCUUCCUGAGUCUCCAGGCUGUUUGUCUGCCCUGCAGAUUUCAGACUUGCCAGCUCCCAGAAUAAUGUGAGCCAAUUCCUUAAAAUAAAUCUCUUUCUGCAUAUACA